rnacentral:misc_RNA from 1 species
GAUGAAGAACGCAGCGAAAUGCGAUAAGUAAUGUGAAUUGCAGAAUUCAGUGAAUCAUCGAAUCUUUGAACGCACAUUGCGCCCCCUGGUAUUCCGGGGGGCAUGCCUGUUCGAGCGUCAUUUCACCACUCAAGCCUCGCUUGGUAUUGGGCAACGCGGUCCGCCGCGUGCCUCAAAUCGACCGGCUGGGUCUUCUGUCCCCUAAGCGUUGUGGAAACUAUUCGCUAAAGGGUGUUCGGGAGGCUACGCCGUAAAACGACCCCAGUUCUAAGGUUGACCUCUGAUCAGGUAGGGAUACCCGCUGAACUUAAGCAUAUCAAUAAGCGGAGGA